rnacentral:rRNA from 1 species
CAAUAGUGUAUAUUAAAGUUGUUGCGGUUAAAAAGCUCGUAGUUGGAUUUCGGAAUGCAUCGAACACGGUCCUUCAAUUUGAAGUGUACUGGUUUUUUGCUUCCUUCUUUUGUAAUACGUUGUGAGAGUGACCAAAGCGUUUCUUUCACAUGUUUACAUUGUUUACUUUGAAAAAUUAGAGUGUUUAAAGCAGGCGUAACUUGCCUUUGAAUACAUUAGCAUGGGAUAAUAAAAUAUGACUAAGGUCUUAUUUUGUUGGUUUCUAAGGCUUCAGUAAUGAUUAAUAGGGAUAGUCGGGGCCACUAGUAUUGAUUUGUCAGAGGUGAAAUUCUAGGAUUUAAUCAAGACUAACUACUGCGAAAGCAUUUGGCAAGGAUGUUUUCAUUAAUCAAGAACGAAAGUUGGGGGAUCGAAGAUGAUCAGAUACC